CAAUGUGAUGGUCUGGGGGAGGUGGAGGCAAUGUGAUGGUCUGGGGGAGGCAAUGUGAUGGUCUGGUGGAGGCAAUGUGAUGGUCUGGGGGAGGCAAUGUGAUGGUCUGGUGGAGGCAAUGUGAUGGUCUGGUGGAGGCAAUGUGAUGGUCUGGGGGAGGCAAUGUGAUGGUCUGGUGGAGGCAAUGUGAUGGUCUGGUGGAGGCAAUGUGAUGGUCUGGUGGAGGCAAUGUGAUGGUCUGGUGGAGGCAAUGUGAUGGUCUGGGGGAGGCAAUGUGAUGGUCUGGGGGAGGCAAUGUGAUGGUCUGGGGGAGGCAAUGUGAUGGUCUGGUGGAGGCAAUGUGAUGGUCUGGGGGUGCUUUGGUGGUGGUAAAGUGGGAGAUUUGUACAGGGUCAAAGGGAUCUUGAUGAAGGAAGUCUAUCACUCCAUUUUGCAACGCCAUGCCAUACCCUGUGGGCGGCGCUUAAUUGGAGCCAAUUUUCUCCUACAACAGGACAAUGACCCAAAGCACAGCUCCAAACUAUACAAUAACUAUUUAGGGAAGAAGC